rnacentral:rRNA from 1 species
AUUGAACGCUGGCGGCAGGCCUAACACAUGCAAGUCGAACGAGUGGCGGACGGGUGAGUAAUGUCUGGGAAACUGCCCGAUGGAGGGGGAUAACUACUGGAAACGGUAGCUAAUACCGCAUACCAUCGGAUGUGCCCAGAGGGGAUUCGCUAGUAGGUGGGGUAACGGCUCACCUAGGCGACGAUCCCUAGCUGGUCUGAGAGGAUGACCAGCCACAUGGGAACGGAGACACGGUCCAGACCCCUAGGGGAGGCAGCAGUGGGGAAUAGUGCACAAUGGGCGCAAGCCUGAUGCAGCCAUGCCGGGUGUAUGAAGAAGGCCUUCGGGUUGUAAAGAACUUUCAGCGAGGAGGCGUUACUCGCAGAAGAAGCACCGGCUAACUCCGUGCCAGCAGCCGCGGUAAUA